rnacentral:rRNA from 1 species
GACGAACGCUGGCGGCGUGCUUAACACAUGCAAGUCGAACGCUGAAGCUUGGUGCUUGCACUGGGUGGAUGAGUGGCGAACGGGUGAGUAAUACGUGAGUAACCUGCCCUUGACUCUGGGAUAAGCCUGGGAAACUGGGUCUAAUACUGGAUACGACAUGUCACCGCAUGGUGGUGUGUGGAAAGGGUUUUUGUGGUUUUGGAUGGGCUCACGGCCUAUCAGCUUGUUGGUGGGGUAAUGGCUCACCAAGGCGACGACGGGUAGCCGGCCUGAGAGGGUGACCGGCCACACUGGGACUGAGACACGGCGCAGACGCCUACGGGAGGCAGCAGUGGGGAAUAUUGCACAAUGGGCGGAAGCCUGAUGCAGCGACGCCGCGUGAGGGAUGACGGCCUUCGGGUUGUAAACUUCUUUCAGCACGGAAGAAGCGAAAGUGACGGUACGUGCAGAAGAAGCGCCGGCUAACUACGUG